GACGGAGGAUGCAAGCGUUAUCCGGAAUGAUUGGGCGUAAAGCGUCUGCAGGUGGCCGUUCAAGUCUGCUGUCAAAGCCCGGGGCUUAACUUCGGAAAGGCAGUGGAAACUGAACAGCUAGAGUAUGGUAGGGGCAGAGGGAAUUCCUGGUGUAGCGGUGAAAUGCGUAGAGAUCAGGAAGAACAUCGGUGGCGAAGGCGCUCUGCUGGACCAUAACUGACACUCAGGGACGAAAGCUAGGGGAGCGAAUGGG
rnacentral:rRNA from 1 species